GUCACCGUGACAGAUUCCUCCCU
rnacentral:siRNA from 1 species